AUUGAACGCUGGCGGCAGGCCUAACACAUGCAAGUCGAGCGGAUGACGGGAGCUUGCUCCUUGAUUCAGCGGCGGACGGGUGAGUAAUGCCUAGGAAUCUGCCUGGUAGUGGGGGACAACGUUUCGAAAGGAACGCUAAUACCGCAUACGUCCUACGGGAGAAAGCAGGGGACCUUCGGGCCUUGCGCUAUCAGAUGAGCCUAGGUCGGAUUAGCUAGUAGGUGAGGUAAUGGCUCACCUAGGCGACGAUCCGUAACUGGUCUGAGAGGAUGAUCAGUCACACUGGAACUGGGACACGGUCCAGAGUCCUACGGGAGGCAGCAGUGGGGAAUAUUGGACAAUGGGCGAAAGCCUGAUCCAGCCAUGCCGCGUGUGUGAAGAAGGUCUUCGGAUUGUAAAGCACUUUAAGUUGGGAGGAAGGGCAGUAAGCUAAUACCUUGCUGUUUUGACGUUACCGACAGAAUAAGCACCGGCUAACUCUGUGCCAGCCGCCGCCGUAAUAC
rnacentral:rRNA from 1 species